GAUGAAGAACGUAGCGAAAUGCGAUAAGUAAUGUGAAUUGCAGAAUUCAGUGAAUCAUCGAAUCUUUGAACGCACAUUGCGCCCAUUAGUAUUCUAGUGGGCAUGCCUGUUCGAGCGUCAUUAAGUCCACUUAAGCCCUGCUUAGUGUUGGGAGACUGCUCCAGCGGUGCUACCCUGUAGCUACCCUGCAGCUCCUCAAAGACAGCGGCGGAGUUGUGGUAUCCUCUGAGCUUAGUAACUUGUUCUAGCUUUCGAGUACACCACUUCCCCUGCCGUAAAACCCUUAAUUUUUAAUGGUUGACCUCGGAUCAGGUAGGAAUACCCGCUGAACUUAAGCAUAUCAAAUAAGCGGAGGA
rnacentral:misc_RNA from 1 species